CCGAGACUAUUCAACGAUAUAUGUGUAGAGUAGAAAACAGCUAUCUUUGCCGACCCCCCCACCCACCAUUUCUCAUCAUCCCAAGGCCUUAUAAAUUGCUUCAUAUACCCCUCAACAAUUUCAUCCUUUUUUAACCUAAAGGUCGCCCUCUCUUUGGUGGGGUUGAGAGGUGGUUGUAGAUGGUAGAUUCGAAAACUGUAGUUCAAGCUAAACCAGUAUGUGUGGUUAGGUUUGGGUAUAAAGCUUCACGAUGGUUGUUCCAUAUGGAAACACUAAAACGUCCCUAGGGUUUUGCGGUUGAUGGUCCUGGAUCUAAGAACUAUAAAAAGUGGAUCUAGGGUUUUUAUGAAAGGAGGGUCGUAGAUUAGUAUAGAUUUUCCAUGUAUUGUUUUUGUAUGUGUAUUUUUGGAUCUGUCUCUCCAAACGUUCAUGUUUUAUGCUUAGGGAAGUGGUUUUAGUGAGUGGUGUUAGGGUUUGUGUGUGAGAGGGUGUGUUUUUAGGUUGUGUGUGUGUGUGUGUGAAAUUAGGGUUUUGAAGUGGAGCUCCUUGAAAUCCAAUAGAGGAUAAUACUGGGAAGAUCGAGCUGCUGACCUAUGGAUCCCUCAGACCUAUCCAUGUUAAGCGUGGUAAUGGAUAGGGUUGUGGCUUGCAUAUGUCAGGAGCUGUAUUACCCAAGUUAGAUCCUUAUUUGGAUUGAAGGGAGCUCUACGCAUAAUCUCUUUGUUCACCUUCUUUUUCUCUUUUCAUUUCAUGAUGGGCUAAAUCUUCCGUACAAUUUAUAUUUCUGCUUUUAUUGGAGGAAGUUGGAUGCUUUUUCAUUACAGGCAUCUCCUAAUAGGGUGUAUGCAAGGGGUUGCAGAAUCGUCAUUUCUUGACUCUUUUUCAAGAACACGGAUUUCUUUAAAGCAUAUGGAUUUUAGUAACUCAUCUUGUAAACCACAACACAGGUUUUUUGAUUGAUUCGUCAGAGUUGGAGAUUUGUCGUUUAAGGGUCUUCAAGAUGGAAUAUGUUGAUAAUUUAUGAAAAUUAGUAAAGCAUUUUGUUCAAGAAAAGUUCUCAAUCUGUAUGUAUAAUUUUCAAAUGUAUAUAGUAACAUCAUUAAAUGGGAUGAUUGUAGACAAUUUUGCUAGAUCCUUGUGAUAAAGUCAACAUUAUCUGAACUAGAUUAAUUCUUGUUUUUUUAGUUCAA